CCGUGGCAUAUAGCUCAGUAACACGUGGCCAAACUACCCUACAGACCGCGAUAACCUCGGGAAACUGAGGCCAAUAGCGGAUAUAACUCUCAGGCUGGAGUGCCGAGAGUUAGAAACGUUCCGGCGCUGUAGGAUGUGGCUGCGGCCGAUUAGGUAGAUGGUGGGGUAACGGCCCACCAUGCGGAUAAUCGGUACGGGUGUGAGAGCAAGAACCCGGAGACGGUAUCUGAGACAAGAUACCGGGCCCUACGGGGCGCAGCAGGCGCGAAACCUUUACACUGCACGACAGUGCGAUAGGGGGACUCCGAGUGCGAGGGCAUAUAGCCCUCGCUUUUCUGUACCGUAAGGUGGUACAGGAACAAGGACUGGGCAAGACCGGUGCCAGCCGCCGCGGUAAUACCGGCAGUCCAAGUGAUGGCCGAUAUUAUUGGGCCUAAAGCGUCCGUAGCCGGCCGGACAAGUCCGUUGGGAAAUCGACGCGCUCAACGCGUCGGCGUCCAGCGGAAACUGUCCGGCUUGGGGCCGGAAGACCUGGGGGGUACGUCCGGGGUAGGAGUGAAAUCCUGUAAUCCUGGACGGACCACCAAUGGGGAAACCACCUCAGGAAGACGGACCCGACGGUGAGGGACGAAAGCUAGGGUCUCGAACCGGAUUAGAUACCCGGGUAGUCCUAGCUGUAAACGAUGCUCGCUAGGUGUGCCGUAGGCUACGAGCCUGCGCUGCGCCCUAGGGAAGCCGAGAAGCGAGCCGCCUGGGAAGUACGUCUGCAAGGAUGAAACUUAAAGGAAUUGGCGGGGGAGCACCACAACCGGAGGAGCCUGCGGUUAAUUGGACUCAACGCCGGAAAUCUCACCGGUCCCGACAGUAGUAAUGACGGUCAGGUUGACGACUUUACCCGACGCUACU
rnacentral:rRNA from 1 species